GAAUUUGAGGGUGACCUGGCUGUGACAAGCCACCCCACUGAUCACCAGUGUUUUUUUAACUGAUCUUACUGGCUUGCUGGGUGUCCCCUUUCUCCUCCACAGUUCCAUGUCUGUCCUUCCUGCAGCAGAACACUCGGUCAAAAAGGACAUUUCUUUUUUUUUUUUAACAUUAAAGAACAUUCCAUGUUGAUUUCUGUUUAGGUAAGUUUCAAAUUUCUAGGUUAUCUGAACCUCCUAGAAUUGGAAAAAAAAUGGCACUUGAAAAUUAAUAAUAGGAAUAAAAAAAAUCCCUUUCUUU
rnacentral:snRNA from 1 species